CCUACGGGUGGCUGCUAAACAGGCUUUGAUCCGGGGAUUUCCGCAUGGGGAAACCCACCUGGAGUCAUGUCCGGGUAUCCAUAUCUGAAUACAUAGGGUAUGGAGGUGAACGCAGGGAACUGAAACAUCUCAGUACCUGCAGGAAGAGAAAUCAAGAGAGAUUCCCAAAGUAGUGGCGAGCGAAAUGGGAAGAGCCUAAACCGAUUAUGUGUAAGCCUGCCGGCGUUGCGUAUUCGGGGUUGUGGGUUCAGUCUGGAGGGCACGGCAGUACCUUCGAGGAGUUACAAAGCGUAUUCAGAGAAGAACGAUCUGGAAAGUUCGGCCAUAGUGGGUGAUAGCCCCGUAUUCGAAAUGAACUACGCCUCCUUGAGACUGAUACCCCAGUAGUC
rnacentral:rRNA from 1 species